rnacentral:rRNA from 1 species
UACAGGGGGUGCAAACGUUGCUCGGAAUCAUUGGGCGUAAAGCGCACGUAGGCGGUUUGUUAUGUCGGAUGUGAAAGCCCUUGGCUCAACUGAGAAGUGCAUCCGAAACUGGCAAGCUAGAGUACUAAAGAGGGUCGCGGAAUUCCCGGUGUAGAGGUGAAAUUCGUAGAUAUCGGGAGGAACACCGGUGGCGAAGGCGGCGACCUGGGUAGAUACUGACGCUGAGGUGCGAAAGCGUGGGGAGCAAACAGGG